CUCCGGCCAAGCCCAGCUGCCUAGAGCGAGCUCCACUCCUCCAUCUGUUCGCCGGGGUCCUCGCUCCCCUGCCGGGGCCGGCGAGACGGCGUGAGGCCGGAGGGGGAUUUGCAAGGAAACCUGCCUGCUUCCCGCUCCCAUUGCUCCAUCCCCGCUGCCUCCUGCCUCCUGCUUCUCUCCUGCGUCUUUCCAACUCUCCCCUGUCGCCACUGAGGAAAGGUUAUCAGGACAGGACGCAGGGAGCCAGAAGACCAUCUGAAGGAAGCCUGCUUCCAACGGGCCCAGCCUCCAGCCACCGCUCCUGGGGCAGCGCCAUUGCUCCUGGCUCUCAGGCUGCCAGUCUCCCACACCGACGCUCUACUGCCCGCAUCUCGGCCAGCUGGGUCACCCAGCCCCUUUCGACUCUCCCCUGGCACGCAGCCUUCUCCUUCACUCGGCCUGCCUCGCUGCUGCUGUAAUUCCUCUUGUCUCCUGGGAGAAAUGAGAUUGCUUUCCCAGGACUUCCACAUCCCACUUCUAUCAGGUUUCACCAACAGGGAGGAAGCCCUGUCAAGAUCUGGUGUGUCCUGUUUUUUUUUUUUUUUUUUCCCAGAGGGCACUGGCAUGUAGGAGAAGCGGAUUUACCACUAGUAGAUGUUAAUGAAAUUUCAGCUUCUAGGCCCCUAACUUGCAGGACCUGCCCAAGGCCCUGAACUUAAUUUUGUUUUCAUCAUUUGGUAUUUUUUUGUUAAAAGAGCCACCGACCACCUCCCCGCUACCCCAGAACUGCACGUGUUUCUGGCCCUACAAACCCAGAUCGUCCCUUGGAAUAUACACAGGGCAAUUUGUGUAGGAUCACACUGCGCUAAAAGUGAGGCAUGGUGGGCUAGGCGCACUGGCUCACACCUGUAAUCCCAGCACUUUGGGAGACCAAGACAGGAGGUCUUAAGUGAUUAAGCCCAGGAGUUCGAGAUCAGCUUAGACAACAUAGCAAGAUGCUGCCUCUACAAACACACACACCCCCUAUUAUAAUAUGUCAAAAAAAAAAAAAAAAAAAGGAAAAGUGAGGCAUAGAACUGACUUUAUUGUUUUGACUAGGAAAGAGCAAAGGGUUUGGAAUCAAAAGUCCCAACUUCCCCACCUUCUUAAUAGUGUGUGAAUCUGAGUGCCUUAUUAACCUUCCCUGGUCCCAGUUUCGUAUCUGUAAAGUUAGAAUAGCAAUCCUGUUUAAUUUGCUUCUCUCACCAGGGAUCAGAAGGCCAAAUGAGAUGAUGUAUGUAAAAUUGUAAAGUCCUCCACAGAUGGCACUUGCCACAUUACAGAGAACUUGAGACCCCCCCCCACCAAUAACGUUCCAAAUCUUCCACAUGCAGAUCUGGAGUCCAGGUGUCCUGGCUCCUGGCCCUGAACUUUUUGGCUGGGCCAAGGGGCUUUUCGGUAAAGUGCUUUGGAAUAAAACAGGAUGAACAUGAAUCAUAAGAAUGAGUAUUUAUUGAUUCCUUGGGCAGCAAAAACUAUGGCUGGCACCC
rnacentral:lncRNA from 10 species